rnacentral:sRNA from 1 species
CAUCAUCACCAUCAUCCUGAUUAGUCUUUCAGGACGCUGGUCCGUGGAAGACGCUCAGAGAGUUCUUCCGGUGGACGACAGUCAAGGUACACAAUCCAGCCCCCGGAAGAUCACUUUUCCGGGGGCUUUUU